GAUGAACGCUAGCUACAGGCUUAACACAUGCAAGUCGAGGGGAAACGAGAUUGGAAGCUUGCUUCCGAUAGGCGUCGACCGGCGCACGGGUGAGUAACGCGUAUCCAACCUGCCCAUCACUUGGGGAUAACCUUGCGAAAGUAAGACCAAUACCCAAUGAUAUCUCUAGAAGACAUCUGAAGGAGAUUAAAGAUUCAUCGGUGAUGGAUGGGGAUGAGUCUGAUUAGCUUGUUGGCGGGGUAACGGUCCACCGAGGCGACGAUCAGUAGGGGGUCUGAGAGAAAGUGCCCACUGAUUGGAACUGAGACCCGAUCCAAACACCGGCGGUAGGAAACAGCAGGUAAGAUUGAUCAAGGGACGGGAAGCUCAACCAGCCAAGUAGCAUACAAGAUGAAGGCCCUAUAGUUCAUAAACUACUUUUAUAAAGCAAUAAAGUGAGUCUCGUGACGCUUUUUUCACGUACCUCAGGAAACAGGGCCGGCUAAUUCCGUGCCUCCCACCGCCUUAA
rnacentral:rRNA from 1 species